AACGAACGCUGGCGGCAUGCCUAACACAUGCAAGUCGAACGAGACCUUCGGGUCUAGUGGCGCACGGGUGCGUAACGCGUGGGAACCUGCCCUUAGGUUCGGAAUAACUCCCCGAAAGGGGUGCUAAUACCGGAUAAUGUCUUCGGACCAAAGAUUUAUCGCCUUUGGAUGGGCCCGCGUUGGAUUAGCUAGUUGGUAGGGUAAAAGCCUACCAAGGCGACGAUCCAUAGCUGGUCUGAGAGGAUGAUCAGCCACACUGGGACUGAGACACGGCCCAGACCCCGCGGGGGGGCAGAAGGGGGGAAUAGUGGAACAGGGGGGAAAGCCGUACCCAUCUAUUCCGGGGGAGGGAAUAAAGCGUUAGGGUUGUAAAACCUUUUUACCCCGGAUUACAAGGACCGUCCCGGGGAAAAAAACCCCGGCCAACCCCG
rnacentral:rRNA from 1 species